CCUCAUCAAAAUGCAGGCAGCCUCGUGU
rnacentral:piRNA from 1 species